rnacentral:rRNA from 1 species
UGAAGCCCAGCUUGCUGGGUGGAUUAGUGGCGAACGGGUGAGUAACACGUGAGCAACCUGCCCCUGACUCUGGGAUAAGCGCUGGAAACGGCGUCUAAUACUGGAUAUGUCCCGUCACCGCAUGGUGUGCGGGUGGAAAGAUUUUUCGGUUGGGGAUGGGCUCGCGGCCUAUCAGCUUGUUGGUGAGGUAAUGGCUCACCAAGGCGUCGACGGGUAGCCGGCCUGAGAGGGUGACCGGCCACACUGGGACUGAGACACGGCCCAGACUCCUACGGGAGGCAGCAGUGGGGAAUAUUGCACAAUGGGCGGAAGCCUGAUGCAGCAACGCCGCGUGAGGGAUGACGGCCUUCGGGUUGUAAACCUCUUUUAGCAGGGAAGAAGCGAGAGUGACGGUACCUGCAGAAAAAGCACCGGCUAACUACGUGCCAGCAGCCGCGGUAAUACGUAGGGUGCAAGCGUUAUCCGGAAUUAUUGGGCGUAAAGAGCUCGUAGGCGGUCUGUCGCGUCUGCUGUGAAAUCCCGAGGCUCAACCUCGGGCUUGCAGUGGGUACGGGCAGACUAGAGUGCGGUAGGGGAGAUUGGAAUUCCUGGUGUAGCGGUG